UUGACCUCAAAUCGGGUGAGACUACCCGCUGAACUUAAGCAUAUCAAUAAGCGGAGGAAAAGAAACUAACAAGGAUUCCCCUAGUAACUGCGAGUGAAGCGGGAAAAGCUCAAAUUUAAAAUCUGGUGGCCUCUGGUCACCCGAGUUGUAAUUUAGAGAAGCGUCUUCCGCGCUGGACCGUGCACAAGUCUCCUGGAAUGGAGCGUCAUAGAGGGUGAGAAUCCCGUCUUUGGCACGGACGCACCAGGGCUUUUGUGAUGCGCUCUCGAAGAGUCGAGUUGUUUGGGAAUGCAGCUCAAAAUGGGUGGUGAACUCCAUCUAAAGCUAAAUAUUGGCGAGAGACCGAUAGCGAACAAGUACCGUGAGGGAAAGAUGAAAAGCACUUUGGAAAGAGAGUGAAACAGUACGUGAAAUUGUUGAAAGGGAAACGCUUGAAGUCAGUCGCGUCGACCGAGACUCAGCCUUGCCUCGGCUCGGUGUACUUCUCGGCCGACGGGUCAGCAUCAAUUUUGCCCCUCGGAUAAUGGCGAGAGAAAGGUGGCACCCUCUCGGGUGUGUUAUAGUCU
rnacentral:rRNA from 1 species